rnacentral:rRNA from 1 species
AUUGAACGCUGGCGGCAUGCUUUACACAUGCAAGUCGAACGGCAGCGCGGGCUUCGGCCUGGCGGCGAGUGGCGAACGGGUGAGUAAUACAUCGGAACGUGCCCAGUAGUGGGGGAUAGCUCGGCGAAAGCCGGAUUAAUACCGCAUACGACCUGAGGGUGAAAGCGGGGGAUCUUCGGACCUCGCGCUAUUGGAGCGGCCGAUGGCAGAUUAGCUAGUUGGUGGGGUAAAGGCCUACCAAGGCGACGAUCUGUAGCUGGUCUGAGAGGACGACCAGCCACACUGGGACUGAGACACGGCCCAGACUCCUACGGGAGGCAUCAGUGGGGAAUUUUGGACAAUGGGCGAAAGCCUGAUCCAGCAAUGCCGCGUGUGUGAUGAAGGCCUUCGGGUUGUAAAGCACUUUUGGCGGGAACGAAAAGGACUGUGCCAAUACCACGGUUCGAUGACGGUACCCGCAGAAUAAGCACCGGCUAACUACGUG